AUGGAGACCUCAGCAAAGGACCGGCAAGAAAAGGGGCCAGAAUUGAGCACCAUAAUCCCAGAUUUCGGGGGAAUCACAUUUAUCAACCAUCCACAAGUGUCUGCCUGCUUGGGGAGGAGGAUGAAGAGGCACUGUUUGACAAGAGUUGAAGUGGCAGAGUGUAAAGAUAUUAAAUCAGAGAGAUCUGGUGAUUUAAUGCCACACUACAACAGGAAGCAAUUGCUGGCAUGUCUUCCUUGGCACUAUAAAAUGUGACCAAGAAAAUAGGCAAUCACAGCAAGAAGUCUGUGUUUACUCUAAGAAACUCAGAGUUUAUGGGAAGAUAAGCAACAAAAAUAUUCAGUCAAGUAAAAGAAAAGACAUUAAACACAUUAUUUUACAGAAGAAGACAAUGACAGAUGCAAAUUAUGCAUAAUAAGAAGUGGGACUAUAAAUGAAAUCUUGUCCGAUAAUAUAUACAAACGGAUGCAUUUUACAACGGCAUUCAUUCAAAUGUACUUUGUGCAUUUGCCAUGAAUCCAUCAUAUGCCAUGAACUGUAGAAGAGACUUAGCCUGUUAUCUGUGAACAAGAUAAUGGACAUCCUUGUUUUCAUGUAACUUACCUUCCACCAGUGGGAAAUGAGCAAUUAGCAAAAUGGACAUUCUAAAUAAACUAUUAUUUUGAAGAUGCUAAGUGUCUUAG
rnacentral:lncRNA from 1 species